AAGAGGCGGCCAGCCCCUGUAGAAAAGGGAAAAACCAAGUAAACAAUCUUUUCUCUGCAUUGGCGCUUCUGUCUCUCUCAGAGUUGCAGGAAUUACGCAGCGUGUUGAUUAAAGCAUGGCCAAGCACCAUCCUGAUUUGAUCAUGUGCCGGAAACAACCAGGGGAGGUGUGUUGUCUGCGGAGGACUGGGGAUAUCUGAUGCAUACUACUGCAAAGAGUGUACACAGCUGGAGAAAGAUCGGGAUGGUUGUCCCAAAAUCGUCAAUCUGGGGAGUGCCAAAACAGACUUGUUCUAUGAACGUAAGAAGUACAUGUGCAAGCUUAUUGGAUCUUGGAUUUUACAAUAUGAAGUAACUCUCUUUAUUUUUAUAAGCUUCGCCCCUUGCUCAAGAUUUGGACCUAAUACCUUUUAAUAGAAAAUCUUAAGUUCUAAUUGUUGGGAUAUUUUCUUCAGGACAUGUCAGUGCUAUUUGUAAGAUAUGUCAACAUUAUUCUUUAAUAUUUAUGUUAUUCCUAGGGUCACUUUGGAUUCAGCAACCUGUUCAGUACUUCUAUCCUAUUAGUGAUCAAUUUGUCUGCUGGAUAGAAUCCAAAUGAAUUUAUUUGAUUACUAGGGUAGCUUUGCUUUCUGUAAUCUGUUCGGUUCUUCAAUCUGGUGCUUUCCUGUUGAUUAAGUUUGUCUCGUGAACAGAAUGUAAAGGAGAUGUUGAUUGAUUAGUGGUUAAGGUGAAGCUUUUAUGGCACAAUGUGAAAAAGCUGGUUAUGUUGGGUGAAGAUGCUUUCCACCAUGCAAGUUUUUUCUGAUGGGCUUGCCAUUGAUUAUCCAUUGUAUAUGGAGGAACCACUUUACUGGGAAACAAUGGGAUUGCCAAAGUGAUUGCUGUUACAAUUGACGGAGAAAAUGGAGAAGCACUUGGUGAUGAACCUGUAAAGAAUUAUGGUAAAUGGCCCUUCACACAGGUUUAUGGGAUUCAGUUGUCUUUUUAAUGCAUCAAACCUCAAUGAAGUUUGUUUCUGUUUAAUUUGGAAAUUUUUCAUAGUUUUCUGCAGUAUUAAUUUUGAUGUGGCCCAUUAAUCUGCUCAGGAACCUGCUUCUUUCACGUUUUCUGUACUCAACCUAGCAAUGCAUUUUCAUGGUUGACUAUCCUUUUUGAUCCUUUUUUACUGUAAUUACCUCUAAAACAAGAGAAGAAGGCCUACUAUAUGUUUGCAAGUUUGUGGCACGUAUAUGAGCUCUUGUUGAUAAACUCGUGAAUCUGGAGUGUUGUUUUCCAUUGUUAGUAAGCAUCUUUCAGUUCACCUCUCCACCCUAUCCCACUAUUGCCCCUUCAGAUUUAUUUGGCUGGCUCUCUAAUCAACAAUAUCAGUGAUUUUUUUGAGAUGGUACCUUCAAACCUUGAUAUGGCUUCAAAAUAUAGGUCAAUGCUAUAUUCAGUAGAAUUUAUUUGCUGGUUUGGACAAGCAUUUUUCUAUUAAGCAGUGCAUUAAUGUUGAUCCUGGUUGCAUAUUCUUAUUGACCGAACAUCCUUCUCUAAAUGGUUUCUGCACAUAAUUUUCCUGCAUUACUGGUUCCAAUGACAUGAGGUCAAACGUUAUACAGUGUGAAAUAUGAAAGGUUGGGUUGUCAAUGGGGCUGCUCAACCUCUCAUUUGGGUGAUUUGGGCUGCUAAGACUGCCCAUCCUUGUCAGUGGAUGUUGUGGGUGGGGGUUCUUGGAGGUGGCCUCGCAAAGCUUCUAGAGAUCUAUGAUUCCUCUCCAUUGCAAGGAAUCAUUGAUGCCAAUGCUUUCUGUCAUGCCGCCACUAUUCUCCUUACCUGCAUAUUGUGGAGUUUAUUAGGUACGAUGCAAAGUUUUGAACUUCCAAUAUCCUUAAGAAGACCAAGUAGCCCCCUGGAAGAUUGAUGCUGUAAGAAGACUGUGUUUAUUAACUGGUAUAAGGGUUUUAUUUUGUUUGUUCUUGUUAUGCUUCAGAAAUGAAGGAUAUUUGCUUCGCUGGGAUUCUGAGUUGGUUGAAACUUGGAACUCAUUUAGAUGCUGGAAUUGGAUUUUGCAAUGGAAGUUAAAGUUAUAAGAUGGAAAUAAUUCGAUUCU